rnacentral:rRNA from 1 species
CGUAGGGGGCUAGCGUUGUCCGGAAUCAUUGGGCGUAAAGCGCGUGUAGGCGGUCCGGUAAGUCCGCUGUGAAAGUCGAGGGCUCAACCCUCGAAUGCCGGUGGAUACUGUCGGGCUUGAGUACGGGAGAGGCGAGUGGAAUUCCUGGUGUAGCGGUGAAAUGCGCAGAUAUCAGGAGGAACACCGAUUGCGAAGGCAGCUCGCUGGAACGUUACUGACGCUGAGACGCGAAAGCGUGGGGAGCAAACAGG